rnacentral:rRNA from 1 species
ACACGCACAUCCGCCCGGGUACUACGAGCACAGCUUAAAACCCAAAGGACUUGGCGGUGUCUCAGACCCACCUAGAGGAGCCUGUUCUAGAACCGAUAACCCCCGUUAAACCUCAUCACUUCUUGUUUUUUCCGCCUAUAUACCGCCGUCGUCAGCUUACCCUGUGAAGGUUUAAUAGUAAGCAAAAUGGGCCCACCCAAAAACGUCAGGUCGAGGUGUAGCGUACGAAGUGGAAAGAAAUGGGCUACAUUUUCUAUACAUAGAAUACUACGGACGACACCUUGAAAUCAGGUGUCAGAAGGUGGAUUUAGUAGUAAAAAGCAAAUAGAGCGUACCUUUGAAUUAGGCUCUGAGACGCGCACACACCGCCCGUCACUCUCCCCUCAUAUUUCUCUUUUAAUAAAUUCAUAAUAAAUCAACCAUAAACACGGGGAGGCAAGUCGUAACAUGGUAAGUGUACCGGAAGGUGCACUUGGAAUAAU